ACGUGGACGUAGUUGGUCGGAGAAUGACGGGGGAACGUGAACAUGCCGACCAAACUUAAAUAUGUGAUCUCUACGAAUUAUAAUUUCUGAACUCUUUACAUGCUCCAAACCGACCAAGUCAUGUCCACUUUUAAUUUUGUAAAAUGAAAAACUAUAUAUUGGCUUUGGCCUUUUAAAACAUGAUCAGAAAAAUGAAGAAAAUGGAGAGAUUGGGAGAGGCCUUGCUAAUUUAUGACAAUGGAAAAUGACAUUAUAACAAUUUAAUAUUGGAAAGUUCAGUGUUCCCACAAAAAUAAGUAGAGUAAUAUAGUAUAUGUGUCUGCGUGUAGUGGAGACUGUUUUUUAAUUAUGUGGUAGUACAUGCAUGAAUUUUUAUCCGCUCUUCGGUGAGAGGGUUAAAUAUCAAAAUGCAUGUUUGUUUCGCUAAGAAUUGCCUUUAUGUUCGAAUAAAUUCAUCAAAAACAAAUUGUUGAUGUGGUUUACAACCUAGUCCAGUUUGGCAAAUUCUUUUCCAAGAUGGGAUUGUACAUCAUCUUUAAGGAGCAUAUCGGAAUUACAAUUAUGAUAGUCUAUUAAUCAUAAGUUGGAUGUUAAUUAACUGAUGUGUAAGUUUUAAGUUUGUUACUAUACUCUCUCCCUCUUACAAAAGUGUCAUUUUGACCAUUUUCACAUAGAUAAAAAAUGAUUAAAAUGCAUAUAUAUAUAUUUGUAUCAAUUGCACUUAUUUAAUUAAUAUUAUUUAAGAUAAAUAAAAUUAUUUAUUAGAUCAAUGGAAUUUGUAACUAAUAUUAAGUUGAAAGUAAAUAAGUUGCACUGAAAUUCUAAAAUAAUAUUUUCGUGGUAAUAAGAAAAAAAUAUAAAAAACUCUUUAUAAAAAAGAGAUAAUAUAAGAGACACUGAUUCAACAUUUUUUUUUUGAUCAAACACACUGAUUCAACACUGAUUCAACAUUAAUUUAAAAUUUUCGUGAAAAGUUUUAGUUGAAAAUAUAGAACAAAAAAACACUGAUCCCCUAUAUAUUAAAGGAGAAGCACUUAAAAAAAUUUCCUUAAAAGUCUAAUCUGAUGUGGCUUCAUGAGAGGCUUUUAUUUACAAAAUUGCACACGUGUCACUUGGAGAACGUUUGUUAAAAAACGUAUGUCUUAAAUGCAAAUAUUACAUUCCUUAAUUAUCGUGUCCCUUCACAAACAUUAUAUUCACGUAACACCCAAAGUUCUCUUCUCCACCUUAUGUUGGUUCUCCAAGCGUACGUGAUGUGUUGGUGUUUGAAGACUACGUGAGACUUGAUGGAGUUUUAUCAUAUAAAUUACGUUAAGAGAUUGAUUACUAGAACCACCUUCACCUUCAUCAUCUUAACGUGUUAUAGAGACGAGAUGUGUUCGCAGUCGAAGAGUACGUGAGAAAAUAUAUAGACAGGCUCAGAGAAGAUCAUGAUGAUCGUGAUAGAGUUUCCGGUACUCACGAGCUUUUGUUUUUCUGAGACAAUCAAUCGAAGUUCCUGCUAGGCUAAAACAAGAUAUACUCACGAGCUUCUAAGACAAGAAAUCGAGGUUCACGGUUGAGGACCAGCAUCUACUCGCACAAAUCUCUGCUGGGGAUGUGUUCAAGACGUUCGUUGUUUUGGUUACCACGUUUCAGGAAGGUGGAGGAGGAUAGCUUUAAUAGGAUUGUUUGAGAAAGAUGUGAAAAAACAGGAGCCUCAUGUUGGACACGUUCUGUUUUGUUGCUGUUGUUCAACAAAGAUGUCAGUUUAGUACCAAAUUGGAGAAGUUUUGCUUUUUGCAUGCUCAUAUUACCAAGGGAAGUGGUCCAUUUUCUGAUAGACCGUGGUCAAAGUUAACAAAUAGCAGUAGACAAGCAAUGGACUUCGCUCCCAUCUGGCAUCCCACCUGGAUUCACACGUUAUAAUAUUCUUUCGAUUUAUGUCGACUGGAAUGUUUAUUUUUUUUGGUGUAAAAGUUUUUUUUUGGGUCUAAUCGAUUGAAAUAUAUCAUAGUUUUAUAAUUUAGCUCAUUUUUAUUGGAUCAACAUGAUAGUUUUGAAAAACAUUUCUUAAAAAUAAUAAUAGUAAUAGGUUUUAGUUUUUGUUUUUAGUUCUCAAAAAAAUUACAAAAAAAAGAAAUGAGAAACAACAACAGAGGAUGAUGAAUAAUCAAUUAUAACAAAAUUGAAAAAUCAGCUACGUGGGAUGAAUAAUCAAGUAAAACAAUUACUUGAACACUACUCAUUUCCUUAAUCUUAUGCAUUUGAAUAUUUUGUGGCUCAACCAAUAAAAAAAGAAAUACAAGUAAAACAAUUACUUUCCUUAAUAUUACUCAGAAAAAAAUUCUAAUGUCGCUUUUUGCAUGUCUCUUUUUUUCACGGAAAUAAUGACAUUCCCUAUUGCUUUUUAAAUAAAAGUUAAACAAUAACUUGACCACUACUCAUGUCCUUAUUCUUACGAAGUUGAAUAUUUUGUUGCUCAAACAAGUGUAUAUAGUGUUUCCUAAACACUCAAUCCUACGUAUAUUUUAUAGUACAUGAAGUUUUGACCACUAUUCUUUCUGAUCGAACUCUCAUUUGUGUUAUGAAGUUUGGGAAAAUAAAAGUAUGGAAAGGUAAACUUAGGGGUGUUCAAUCCGGAUAUCGGUUCGGUUUCGGUUCGGUUUUUUCGGUUUUCGGUAUUUCGGUUAAUAAAAUAUAACUACCAUUCUAAAUCCAUAUUUACUUCGGUUCGGUUCGGUUUAUAUACCGUCGGUUUUCGGUUUAUUAGGUUUUAUACCAAAAAACAUAAUUAUUUAGUUUGAGAUCAUAUUAUAUGAAUUUUAGAGUCAUAUUGUCAACAUAGUCAUUUAUUAAAAAUAUAUUACAUGUUCAAAUAAAUGAACAAAAAAGUAAAAAUGCUUCUACCAUCAAAUAAAAUAAUCAAAUCUAUAACUAAAAUCAAAGCUUGAAAUUUUGAAAAUAAAAAUAUGAAACAAAACAGAAAUAUGAAAGAAAAGUUUUUUCACUCUUCCCUAUUUAUUGUUGAUUAAAGUCAUGCUUUUUCAAUUGAACACGAAACUCUGUUUGUUUA